AUUAAACGCUGGCGGCAUGCCUUACACAUGCAAGUCGAACGGCAGCACGGGGGCAACCCUGGUGGCGAGUGGCGAACGGGUGAGUAACGCAUCGGAACGUGCCCUGGAGUGGGGGAUAACGUAGCGAAAGUUACGCUAAUACCGCAUAUUCUGUGAGCAGGAAAGCAGGGGAUCGCAAGACCUUGCGCUCUGGGAGCGGCCGAUGUCGGAUUAGCUAGUUGGUGGGGUAAAGGCCUACCAAGGCGACGAUCCGUAGCGGGUCUGAGAGGAUGAUCCACCACACUGGGACUGAGACACGGCCCAGACUCCUACGGGAGGCAGCAGUGGGGAAUUUUGGACAAUGGGCGAAAGCCUGAUCCAGCCAUGCCGCGUGAGUGAAGAAGGCC
rnacentral:rRNA from 1 species